GAUGAAGAACGUAGCGAAAUGCGAUAAGUAAUGUGAAUUGCAGAAUUCAGUGAAUCAUCGAAUCUUUGAACGCACAUUGCGCCCUCUGGUAUUCCGGGGGGCAUGCCUGUUCGAGCGUCAUUAUAACCACUCAAGCUCUCGCUUGGUAUUGGGGUUCGCGGUUUCGCGGCCCCUAGAAUCAGUGGCGGUGCCUGUCGGCUCUACGCGUAGUAAUACUUCUCGCGAUUGAGUUCGAUAGGUCUACUUGCCAGUAACCCCCAAUUUUUACAGGUUGACCUCGGAUCAGGUAGGGAUACCCGCUGAACUUAAGCAUAUCAAUAAGCGGAGGA
rnacentral:misc_RNA from 1 species